rnacentral:tRNA from 1 species
GCUCUCGUGGUGUAACUGGUAGUACGUUGGGAUAGCAAACGGAAAAACUCGGGUUCGAAUCCUGGAGAGAGCA